GGAGAGGUGUCCGAGUGGUUGAUGGUGCUGCUCUCGAAAAGCAGUCUCCGGUGAUUCCGGAGCGUGGGUUCGAAUCCCACCCUCUCCGCCA
rnacentral:tRNA from 1 species